GAAAGAAGUGUGCUUGCAGGGCACCAGGCAAGGUAAAUUGGGUAGCUCAAAGGGCAAAGAAAAUAAACAUACCAACUACUCUAGAAACAAGAGCUUCCAAGAAGAGUGAGAGAGAAAGGGACUGAGAAGACUGCUGAAACUUCUGAGGAAAAAAAAAAGAAUCUGGCAUAUUCUAGCAUCUUCCAUCAGGGAGGCCAUAGAGAAAGUCAAAACUUCACUGGCUCCACAGGUGCUGAAAUAUGAGAUUUCAAUAGUGCCACUGCAUUACCGUUCCUCAAAAAUCU
rnacentral:lncRNA from 10 species